CAGGGCUUGAAUCUAGAGAAAGAGAGAAGGAACUGCCAAACAUGAAGAAAAAGACACUAACUUCCUGCAAAGCCACCAGACUGGAAAAAAGGUGAAUUAUUAUGAAAGCCAUUUUCAACAUUUUAUGAAGAAUACAAAUCCCAAAUCACUCAAAAACCUAAGAGGGGACACCAGUGAUGAAAAACGUUCACCAAGUUGAAUUCUGCUUUCCUGCCUCCUUUAUAAAAGCUGGUUCACCGUGUUCUUUGUGAUUAUUGGUCUUUGGAAUGCUGAAAGGAUGAUGGAGCACUGGAGGUCCAUGAUAUGGGCUGUGUGUGAAGUGCAUGAAUACCUACUUCUUAUUGCUGAAGAAUUUAUACAAGAUAAGCCCAUAGGAGCAAGGACUUCCCAGCUCAUUCACAAACUUUCUCAAGUUAUCAGUCUCUUGAUUGGACAAAAGUUUCAGGACAGCGCCACAGGAAAUGGACCACUUACUUUCAACACCCUUCGCAUUUGGAGUGGUCAAGAGAAAAUCCACGAAAGUGGUUACAAUCAUGAGAGAUCCUGCCUUUAUCUGGACUUGCAAAGAUGCUGUCACUAUGAUGUAACCACUGCCCUGAAUGGCGGUGUUCUUUGGAUAGCCAGUGACACUGAGGCAAUCCAUUUUGCUUUCCCAGGCCUCUGCUGCUGAGAUUCAUCAGUCAUGACAAGCAUAAACUCCAGCACCCAAAUCCAAUUUUGAGAGCAUGGCGGAUCUCAUCUUUAGCCAUCUCAUCAGGAGACACAUUCCUGUGGUAGUUAGUGUCCAUACAUCAUCACGAAACAAAAGCUACUCCACUGCAGGGUAACA
rnacentral:lncRNA from 1 species